CCAGACUCCUACGGGAGGCAGCAGUGGGGAAUAUUGGGCAAUGGGCGCAAGCCUUACCCAGCAAUACCGCGUGAGUGAAGAAGGUCUUCGGAUUGUAAAGCUCUUUGAUCAGGGACGAACAGAUGACGGUACCUGAAGAACAAGCCCCGGCUAACUACGUGCCAGCAGCCGCGGUAAAACGUAGGGGGCGAGCGUUGUCCGGAAUGACUGGGCGUAAAGGGUGCGUAGGCGGCAUAAUAAGUUAGAAGUGAAAUACCCAGAGCUUAACUCGGGUGCUGCUUCUAAGACUGUUGAGCUUGAGUGCGGGAGAGGUUAAUGGAAUUCCUAGUGUAGCGGUGGAAUGCGUAGAUAUUAGGAGGAACACCAGAGGCGAAGGCGAUUAACUGGACCGUAACUGACGCUGAGGCACGAAAGUGUGGGUAGCAAACAGGAUUAGAUACCCUAGUA
rnacentral:rRNA from 1 species